rnacentral:rRNA from 1 species
UACGUAGGGGGCUAGCGUUGUCCGGAUUUAUUGGGCGUAAAGAGCUCGUAGGCGGUCUGUCGCGUCGAUCGUGAAAACUUGGGGCUUAACCCUGAGCUUGCGGUCGAUACGGGCAUGACUGGAGUUCGGCAGGGGAGACUGGAAUUCCUGGUGUAGCGGUGAAAUGCGUAGAUAUUGGGAGGAACACCAGUGGCGAAGGCGGCUCACUGGACCGGUACUGACGCUGAAGCGCGAAAGCGUGGGGAGCAAACGGG